rnacentral:SRP_RNA from 2 species
UGCAUGGCUAGGCCGGGGGGUUGGGCGUCCCCUGUAACCCGAAAUCGUCCUUAUGCGGGGGCCGAAAACCUGGGGGCGGUAUGUCCUCCAGUCUUCUCUCCACAGGUCUCUCGAUGAUGCCUCGUCCCGUGGGGCUCGGCGGUGGGGGAGCACCUUCUGUAGGGAAGGUGUAACCCCCUUUACCUGCCGAACCCCGCCAGGCCCGGAAGGGAGCAACGGUAGGCAGGACGUCGGCGCUCACGGGGUAAACGGGGUUGAGAAGAGACCUGUGGGUAGGAGGGGGCUGGAGGACAUACCCACCCCAGGGAAGCCAUGCA